AUGGAGACCGACUGUCUAGAGGCAGUUAACCUCUGGAACUCUCGCUACAUCGACCGGUCGGUGAUAGCACCUAUCUUCUCUGAAAUUGGAGAGCUAGCUCUUAGUUUCAUUUCUUUCAAUGUUCAACAUGUAAUAAGAUCAGCAAAUAGUCCUGCACAUCUGUGUGCUAAGCGUGGUACUACGCUUAAUGUGACUGAGAGCUGGUUAGAUACUACCCCUAGCUUACUGAUCAGCAACCUUCUGGCUGACUGCUCAGCGAAUGCUUUUGUUGAAUAA
rnacentral:rRNA from 1 species